rnacentral:rRNA from 1 species
AUUGAACGCUGGCGGCAUGCUUUACACAUGCAAGUCGAACGGCAGCGCGGGCUUCGGCCUGGCGGCGAGUGGCGAACGGGUGAGUAAUACAUCGGAACGUGUCCAGUAGUGGGGGAUAGCUCGGCGAAAGCCGGAUUAAUACCGCAUACGACCUGAGGGUGAAAGCGGGGGAUCUUCGGACCUCGCGCUAUUGGAGCGGCCGAUGGCAGAUUAGCUAGUUGGUGGGGUAAAGGCCUACCAAGGCGACGAUCUGUAGCUGGUCUGAGAGGACGACCAGCCACACUGGGACUGAGACACGGCCCAGACUCCUACGGGAGGCAGCAGUGGGGAAUUUUGGACAAUGGGCGAAAGCCUGAUCCAGCAAUGCCGCGUGUGUGAUGAAGGCCUUCGGGUUGUAAAGCACUUUUGGCGGGAACGAAAAGGACUGUGCCAAGACCACGGUUCGAUGACGGUACCCGCAGAAUAAGCACCGGCGAACUACGU